GGGCCCGCACAAGCGGUGGAGCAUGUGGUUUAAUUCGAUGCAACGCGAAGAACCUUACCUACCCUUGACAUACAGUGAAUCAAUUAGAGAUAGUUGAGUGCCUUUAGGAACACUGAUACAGGUGCUGCAUGGCUGUCGUCAGCUCGUGUCGUGAGAUGUUGGGUUAAGUCCCGUAACGAGCGCAACCCUUAUUCUUAGUUACCAGCACGUUAUGGUGGGGACUCUAAGGAGACUGCCGGUGACAAACCGGAGGAAGGCGGGGGACGACGUCAAGUCAUCAUGGCCCUUACGGGUAGGGCUACACACGUGCUACAAUGGCCGGUACAGAGGGCAGCGAAGGGGUGACCUA
rnacentral:rRNA from 1 species